rnacentral:rRNA from 1 species
GUGCCAGCAGCCGCGGUAAUACGUAGGGGACAAGCGUUGUCCGGAUUUACUGGGCGUAAAGGGCACGCAGGCGGUUUUUUAAGUCAGAUGUGAAAGGUACCGGCUCAACCGGUGACAUGCAUUUGAAACUGAAAGACUUGAGUAUUGGAGAGGCAAGUGGAAUUCCUAGUGUAGCGGUGAAAUGCGUAGAUAUUAGGAGGAACACCGGUGGCGAAGGCGGCUUGCUGGACAAAUACUGACGCUGAGGCGCGAAAGCGUGGGGAGCAAACACGAUUAGAUACCCUGGUAGUCCACGCCGUAAACGAUGAGUGCUAGGUGUUGGGGAGACUCAGUGCCGCAGCUAACGCAAUAAGCACUCCGCCUGGGGAGUACGACCGCAAGGUUGAAACUCAAAGGAAUUGACGGGGACCCGCACAAGCAGCGGAGCAUGUGGUUUAAUUUGAAGCAACGCGAAGAACCUUACCAGGUCUUGACAUCCUCUGACAAUCUGAGAGAUCAGACUUUCCCUUCGGGGACAGAGAGACAGGUGGUGCAUGGUUGUCGUCAGCUCGUGUCGUGAGAUGUUGGGUUAAGUCCCGCAACGAGCGCAACCCCUGUGGUUAGUUGCCAUCAUUUAGUUGGGCACUCUAAGCAGACUGCCGUGGAUAACACGGAGGAAGGUGGGGACGACGUCAAAUCAUCAUGCCCCUUAUGACCUGGGCUACACACGUGCUACAAUGGUCUGAACAGAGGGCUGCGAAACCGCGAGGUGAAGCUAAUCCCUUAAAACAGAUCUCAGUUCGGAUUGCAGGCUGCAACUCGCCUGCAUGAAGUUGGAGUUGCUAGUAAUCGCAGAUCAGAAUGCUGCGGUGAAUGCGUUCCCGGGUCUUGUACACACCGCCCGUCACACCACGAGAGUUGGCAACACCCGAAGUCAGUGAGGCAACCGUAAGGAGCCAGCUGCCGAAGGUGGGGUCAGUAAUUGGGGUGAAGUCGUAACAAGGUAACCGU